AACAUUCAUUAUUGAUAUACAAAAUCCAGUUACAACUCCGAACCGCUAGAUGGCAGCUGCAGUACACAAACACGAGGCCAAAUCUGGCGAGAAAGAUUUCCGGUGUUUGAAAAUCAACAACACCGACCAGCGAGCAGCCAAGGGGAAAGCAAUCUUCCACACUCGUUUGGUCUUGUGUCAAAGCUGUGUGAAACUGGAGGGAGAAACUUGAGAGACCAUGCCGGAAGAAUGCUGGACAGAGUUCCAUAAAAUUCAUUAAUUUCAAAGUUCAACAUGAAUGGUGGUGGUCCACUGCAGAAGCAAGCAUUUGAAAAAACAUCAGUUCUCAGUUAUUAAAGAUGCUGUGUUGAACAACUUCCCAGCAGCAACAGAACUGGAAGUGAAGGAUGCAAUGGGGGCAUUUCAAACAGGCACCGGGGGGGGGGGGGGGGUAUAGAAAUUAGUACAAUUAAUAAGUUGAAGUGAACUGAAGAUAAGUUUGUUAAUGUUUAGAUGUUAUUUCAUUUUUAAAAUUUUAUUUUGUUAUUUAUGCUUUUAUUUUGUUACUGUUUUUAUUCUUUUUGUUAAAAGUAGUUUUUCAUUUUGUCUUAUCUGAAUUUCUAUUGUAUUAACAAUAUUUCUUGUAAUAAAUUGCAUGAUUACAUGUUUAUGAGAACCUUUUUUAAUGGAUUAAAAAUAAUUCUUUAGCCA